GUUUUGCAUGCACGGAACAAACAUGUUUUGCAGGAAGCAGAUAGCGAGAAGCCAAGCUAGCGGAGGCAACACUGAGAUCGCCAGUGUUCGCGUCAGCCUCGGGAGCAGCGAUUCUUCUGAAGAGAAGGCGGAGCUCACGAGGCGCAUCCCUAAGCCUUCGCGCGUUUCCGCUUGACUGACGUGCAAUGCGGCUUCAGACGAUUGUAAGCAGAGGAUUAUCGCAGCCAUCUGAAAGCCGAAUUACUGGCAGUCAACCGAGCGGAACCGGGAGCAGAGAAGGCGUGCUCGGAACGCAAGAAAACGCGCCGGUGUGUGAACAGGCUAACUGGAUGGACAGGGCCUGGCCAGUCGGCUCUCUAGUGCCAAGCGUGAGCGUUUAUCAUCGUGUAGCCCUGGCCAGCGACGCGUCGCAUGCGUCACACGAGGAUCGCAUGUCUGCUGGGAGUCGCGCUCCGCGAAGCAGAUGGGCAUGUCGCUGCCUGAGUGCUCUAGGAACGUCGAAGGGUUUCCGCAGUGCAUGCGUGGCCCGCCUAUCGCUUUUUUGACCGACGAACGCGUCUUGGCGAAGACAGGGAGACGGGGCGAGGCUGCACGUUUCCGCCGAGACGCGGUUUGCGCCCGAGGCACUCUUACGGCAUGCGCCCCUCACGAAUAGGAAACAGGACGGAAGCGUCGCCUUUCUUACGCGGACUCAACUCCACACAGGGCGGGCCGCGAAGGCGUCUCGAGCAGUCUUUAACAGCUACAGAAAUCAAAACGAACAACUCGUUUCCGAAGGAUGCUCCCUCGACGCGAGCCUCAUCUGCGCGGAGACUGGGUUGUUCUGUUUCCGGUCUCGCAACAGGCGUCUGGCCUUCCCGUUUCGACCGACUCUUUCGACUGAGGGGAGCGAAGCACUGGGCGUGAAGUAUGGACAGAGACGGCGUUCACGUGAGUGAAGGAGAUACGCGGCGAGCGCGCCGAACGAACGUGCGGUCUACAUUCGUUUUCGCUUCGUGGGUUUAGAUGGUAAGUGUGGUCAACAUCCGGUGCAAGCCUGGAGACCUGGGCAUGGUGACUGUCUCUCGGCACAACCAUUCGACAAGUCGUUUUCGCGUUUAUUGACUCGCGUACGUGCGCAGUGUAUAUACCGGUGAGCCGUGUAGCUGUCAGCGGUCCGUUAGGCGCCC
rnacentral:lncRNA from 1 species